rnacentral:rRNA from 1 species
AUUGAACGCUGGCGGCAGGCUUAACACAUGCAAGUCGAGCGAGCGGCGGACGGGUGAGUAAUGUCUGGGAAACUGCCUGAUGGAGGGGGAUAACUACUGGAAACGGUAGCUAAUACCGCAUACCAUCAGAUGUGCCCAGAUGGGAUUAGCUAGUAGGUGGGGUAAUGGCUCACCUAGGCGACGAUCCCUAGCUGGUCUGAGAGGAGGACCAGCCACACGGGAACUGAGACACGGUCCAGACGCCUACGGGAGGCAGAAGUGGGGAAGAUUGCACAAUGGGCGCAAGCCUGAUGCAGCCAUGCCGCGUGUAUGAUGAAGGCUUUCGGGUUUUAAACCUCUUGCGCUAUCGAACGGGUAGGUGGAGAAGAAGCACCGGCUAACUCCGUGCCAGCAGCCGCGGUAAUAC